GUGGGGAAUAUUGGACAAUGGGCGAAAGCCUGAUCCAGCAAUGCCGCGUGAGUGAUGAAGGCCCUAGGGUUGUAAAGCUCUUUUACCAGGGAUGAUAAUGACAGUACCUGGAGAAUAAGCUCCGGCUAACUCCGUGCCAGCAGCCGCGGUAAUACGGAGGGAGCUAGCGUUGUUCGGAAUUACUGGGCGUAAAGCGCGCGUAGGCGGUUUUUUAAGUCAGAGGUGAAAGCCCGGGGCUCAACCCCGGAAUUGCCUUUGAAACUGGAAAACUUGAAUCUUGGAGAGGUCAGUGGAAUUCCGAGUGUAGAGGUGAAAUUCGUAGAUAGUCGGAAGAACACCAGUGGCGAAGGCGACUGACUGGACAAGUAUUGACGCUGAGGUGCGAAAGCGUGGGGAGCAAACAGGAUUAGAAACCCCGGUAGUCC
rnacentral:rRNA from 1 species